rnacentral:rRNA from 1 species
CUACGUGCCAGCAGCCGCGGUAAUACGUAGGGUGCGAGCGUUAAUCGGAAUUACUGGGCGUAAAGCGAGCGCAGACGGUUACUUAAGCAGGAUGUGAAAUCCCCGGGCUCAACCUGGGAGCUGCGUUCUGAACUGGGUGACUAGAGUGUGUCAGAGGGAGGUAGAAUUCCACGUGUAGCAGUGAAAUGCGUAGAGAUGUGGAGGAAUACCGAUGGCGAAGGCAGCCUCCUGGGAUAACACUGACGUUCAUGCUCGAAAGCGUGGGUAGCAAACAGGAUUAGAUACCCUGGUAGUCCACGCCCUAAACGAUGUCAAUUAGCUGUUGGGCAACUUGAUUGCUUAGUAGCGUAGCUAACGCGUGAAAUUGACCGCCUGGGGAGUACGGUCGCAAGAUUAAAACUCAAAUGAAUUGACGGGGGCCCGCACAAGCGGUGGAGCAUGUGGUUUAAUUCGAUGCAACGCGAAGAACCUUACCUACUCUUGACA